rnacentral:lncRNA from 1 species
GGGGGAGUGCAAAACGCACUAUUUUACCCUAUUAUAAAACUUAAAAUUUUUUAUUUUUUUUCAUUUCUUUCUUUGUCUCAAAAAAAAAAAACAAAUGGCUCUCCCUUUCUUUUUCAAACCAACUCAUAGGUCAGUCACCGACCACCGUGCGUGAUGGUUAGAGUUCCAAAAAAACCUCAUUUUCUCCUUGUUAAACUAGGAAAUAGAUUUAGGACCUACAAAUCCCGAAACCCUUGAAAACAACAAGAUUUCCGACUAUUGGCCUCUUGUGCCGUGGCUUCAACCAGAUCCCAAGGGAUCUGUUAGCCCCUGGACCGGAGAAACGAGCGCUGACGAUUUCAACGCCAAACAGUGGGUAAAAAUUUCCAUUCUUACGUAUUCACGUGGUAAAUUUAAAAUAAAAUAAAAAAGAAAAAAUAACAAAGCCGAAAAUGAACAAAUGGAUCACCUUUAAAAUGUAUUCGAUUUCUCUGUAUAAAUUGCUAUGUAUGCGUAUUCGUAUCCUUCUGCCAAAAAAAGAUCCUUUUCAAUACAUUCGGUUUAGGCUUUUAUAGCCGAAAAGAAAAACAAAAAACAACUUGCUCCUAUUUCGUUGCACUUGUUGUUGUUGCUUUCCAUUUUUUCUGCAGGUAUGGAGGCGCGAGUAGAGCAGCUACGUGGAGUGAGGCGUGUGAAGGUUGUUCGGUAGUUGAGGGUUACGGCGCAAGGGAACCCUAGGGUUCCUGAGAGAGUUUUGAUUUUGGGCCAUUUGGGCCAGGUUUGUCUUAUCUAGGUAUUGGGCCCUGUUGUAAAUGGGUAUUCGGGUUUGGGCCUAUUGUAAUUGGGUGUGGUAUUUGGGUUUUGAUUGGCUGUAAAUGGACUUUAUAUUUUGGACUGUUGUUUAUUGGGCCCCGGGUUAAAUUGGGCCCUACAGUUACACUAUAUUUUAUAUUUUUUUAUCAUGAAAAUUUUAUACAUUCGUACCGAAUUUGUGUUAUUUUUCAUUUUACCCAUGUAUUAAUUUAUAAUUAAAAUAUUAUUUACACUUGUAAUUUUUUUACAUUUUUUUUACAAAUAACAACAUAAGAUUAAAAGCUA